rnacentral:rRNA from 1 species
UAUCGAUGAAGAACGCAGCGAAAUGCGAUAAGUAAUGUGAAUUGCAGAAUUCAGUGAAUCAUCGAAUCUUUGAACGCACAUUGCGCCCCUUGGUAUUCCGGGGGGCAUGCCUGUUCGAGCGUCAUUACAACCCUCAAGCAUUGCUUGGUCUUGGGCUGCGCGGCUAACCCCGCGGGCCUUAAAAUCAGUGGCGGUGCCGUCGGGCUCUGAGCGUAGUAAUUCUUCUCGCUAUAGAGUCCCGGUGGUGACUGGCCAGCAACCCCCAAUUUUCUAUGGUUGACCUCGGAUCAGGUAGGGAUACCCGCUGAACUUAAGCAUAUCAAUAAGCGGAGGAAAAGAAACCAACAGGGAUUGCCUCAGUAACGGCGAGUGAAGCGGCAACAGCUCAAAUUUGAAAUCUGGCUCUUUCAGGGUCCGAGUUGUAAUUUGUAGAAGAUGCUUCGGGUGUGGCUCCGGUCUAAGUUCCUUGGAACAGGACGUCAUAGAGGGUGAGAAUCCCGUAUGUGACUGGUUGCCUUCGCCCAUGUGAAGCUCUUUCGACGAGUCGAGUUGUUUGGGAAUGCAGCUCAAAAUGGGUGGUAAAUUUCAUCUAAAGCUAAAUAUUGGCCAGAGACCGAUAGCGCACAAGUAGAGUGAUCGAAAGAUGAAAAGCACUUUGGAAAGAGAGUUAAACAGUACGUGAAAUUGUUGAAAGGGAAGCGCUUGCAACCAGACUUGCGCGCGGCUGAUCAUCCGGGGUUCUCCCCGGUGCACUCGGUCGCGCUCAGGCCAGCAUCGGUUUCGGGGGUUGGAUAAAGGCCUUGGGAAUGUAGCUCUCUUCGGGGAGUGUUAUAGCCCUCGGUGCAAUGCAGCCACCCGGGACCGAGGACCGCGCUUCGGCUAGGAUGCUGGCGUAAUGGUUGUAAGCGACCCGUCUUGAAACACGG